UUAUUUUUAACCCUAAAAGUUUGACUGGGGCGGUACGUCUGUCAAACGGUAACGCAGGUGUCCCAAGGCGAGCUCAGCGUAGACGGAAACCACACGUCGAGCAAAAGGGCAAAGGCUCGCUCGAUCUCGAUUUUCAGUACGAAUACGGACCGCGAAAGCGUGGCCCAUCGAUCCUUUCCGAACAGCGGCGAGCUAUGCGUCCGCCGAGAGGUGUUAGAAA
rnacentral:rRNA from 1 species